AAUCAAUUGUAGAUGAUAUUCUUUAUAUGCGAAACGAUCACAAUGAUGGGAUUUGGAUCAAUCCAUCAUUUUAUGUAAGUAGGAAAAAGAAAAGUAGGAAUCCAACUACAAGGAAGAGGAAAAGGCAGACUUGAUCUUGUGAAAUAUGGCUUCUGUUGAUGAUGAAGGUGGUUCAUCUAGUAAGAAAACAGUUGGUAAACGAGGUGUGACCCGGUUGCAAAAAAUUCACAAAGCCAAAAGCAAUGGAAAGAGGAUUGAGGUUCAAUGGAAUGCAAGAGGUCAACCAAUCAAGCAUAAUAGCAAGAUGUUUGCUAGUUUCAUUGGUGUCACAGUUCGUCGGUUAGUUCCAAUAAGCUUGGACAAUUGGAGUGCGAAAAGAAAUAAAGAGGUUGUAGGGGUUUAUAAACAAAACAUUUGGGAUGAAAUUGAAAAAGCUUUUGUAAUUGGAGAGGAACAUUGUGCUUUUGUAUACAGAGAAGCUGGAAAGUUGCACAGGGCAUUUAGAACAAAAAUGGCAAGGUCAUAUCUAAGAGAUGGUAAGGGUGGUUUUGUUAAACAUCGCCCGACCAAAUAUUCUUAUUGUAUAAAACAAGAGGAUUGGGAUAAAUUUGCAGCGCAACGUAUGUCUGAAAAGUUUCAGAAAGUUAGUAAGGAGAAUCGAGAAAGAGCGUUAAAUCCUCAACAUCCUUAUAGAAAGUCAUGUUUAGGGUGUGCUCGUCUUGAAGCUGAUAUGAUAGAAGAGUCGGAAGUUGAUGAGAUAAGUCGUAGUCAUGUGUGGAAGGCUGCCCGCGUCAACAAGAACGGGGUGAUUGAUAAUGACAAUGUUCAAAGAGUUGUGGAUCAAUGUGAGAAGUUAACAGAAGCUCUAACUGAAGAAGAGAGACAAGACCUUGGUCCUACAGAUAUAUUAUUUGAGGCUCUAAAUCUCCCAAACUACCCUAGGCGUGUUAGGAGUUAUGGUUUUGGGGUUUCUUCUAAGGACGUAUUACCACGCCAAAGUCGCCCCACACAAAUGGACUUUCAAAAAUUGUAUGGCUUUUGCAACACACUCAAAAGUAGAUUGGAGGUGCUAGAGAGAGAGAAGCUGGAGAGAGAUAAGUUGGAUACAGAUAAGUUGGAUAGAGAGAAGCUAGAGAGGCAACAAACCAUACUUGUGGAAGAGAGGUAGCAACUUCAACAAGUGUUAGAGAAGUUGCAACAAUCUAAAAAAGUGGCACAAAAGCAACAACCUGAAAAAGCGGCAGAAAGGCAACAACCUGAAAAAAUAGCAGAGAGUCAACAACCUAGUGAUAAAGGUUCUUGUAACCCUGGAUCAUUUGGCAACAUUCCUGAGGGUCUCUUUCCUGUUAAUAUAUAUUUAUCAUCCCCGGGCCGUUGUUUGGUUGCUCGUGGCAAACUAUAUAACACCAAAGGUAACACGGUGCACGGCAUGACGUUACCACCAGGGUAUGUUAAGGUUAAUAUUGAAGUUGCUAUUGUGCCAAAUGCUUCAUUGCCUAUAUCUGUUGAUGGUGGAGAUGUAUCCCUGGUUGGUCAUGCAAUAGGAACAAUUUUGCCUUGGCCAAUGAAACUUCUUGAAUUUGCUGCUGAAUGUAAAAAGAUUCCUGAUCAAUCCCAAAUCAAAGGUAAGAAUAUUCAACACACUGUUGAAUAUUCAGUUUCAUCACCUAACAAAAGCAACAAAAGGUUCAAAAUUGAAGAGUCUCCUAGAGUUGGCGGUUCAACUGGUCUUGCAAUUUUACCAUUCCUUGAUAUGUAUGUGAAAAAGAUGAUGAGGGUUGGAUCGUUAAUUGAAAUAAAAAUGGAGGAAAGUAUAUUUGGUGAGGAGUUUUUAUAGCAGCUACGUGUAGAGAGUAUAAAAGAGAUUCUUGAUCACAAUUGGUUAAGUGCAUCUAUUAUCACUGUAUUUGCUAGAUAUUUGUAUGACAAGUUUAUUAGUCCAAAUGGAUUAAUAAAUAAGUUCUCCUUCAUUUCCCCACAUGUAUCACGGGAGGAUAAUCUAGGAUAUGCUAUAGCAAAGAUACUCUUGAAAGAUGAGGAGUUCAAGGAUAAGAUGAUUCUUGCACCUUGCAAUCUAGGGAAACAUUGGGUGUUGCUUGUCAUCAAUCCCGAUACUGAGGUGAUAUAUUACAUGGAUCCGUUGAAUGGUGAGCUAACAAAACAUCAAAAUUUAAAAAUAAAGUUUGAGAA